rnacentral:rRNA from 1 species
GUAGGGAAUCUUCCGCAAUGGACGAAAGUCUGACGGAGCAACGCCGCGUGAGUGAAGAAGGAUUUCGGUUCGUAAAACUCUGUUGUUAGGGAAGAAUGAAUAUGUAGUAACUAUACAUGUUAGAGACGGUACCUAACCAGAAAGCCACGGCUAACUACGUGCCAGCAGCCGCGGUAAUACGUAGGUGGCAAGCGUUGUCCGGAAUUAUUGGGCGUAAAGCGCGCGCAGGUGGUUUAAAAAGUCUGAUGUGAAAGCCCACGGCUCAACCGUGGAAUGUCAUUGGAAACUGUUAAACUUGAGUGCAGGAGAGAAAAGUGGAAUUCCUAGUGUAGCGGUGAAAUGCGUAGAGAUUAGGAGGAACACCAGUGGCGAAGGCGGCUUUUUGGCCUGUAACUGACACUGAGGCGCGAAAGCGUGGGGAGCAAACAGGAUUAGAAACCCUAGUAGUCC